UUUGCACGUCAGCAAGCGGGUCCCGCCCCCUGCUCGCCAACAACAAAAUUCAGCCCUCUGUCUCUCUAACGUCAUUUGCUCCUUUAAGGAUACCUCCCGUCUGCUCCUGAAGUAGUGCAUAAGCCCUCUGGAGUGCUUGAUAUUCCCUCGUUAAUUGUCUGAAACGGAGCUCAGAUUCUUCAGCUGCCAGACUCUUAUUGUGAACAAAAAAUUCUGACUGACUGCAAUUGCUGUUUCACUUUCUCAGGUCAUAGAAAUGUCAGCCUGUAAAGCCUGAUGUGGAACUAUUUGUAUAAAAGUAAUUGCACACAAGUACCAGGUGGACCUACCAUGAGAUCACUCCUGUUGAGGAGGCAAUGCUGACAAUAAUCGAGAUGGGAGUGGCCCAUGGCCAUAGGCAGAGCAAGAGACAUCUCAACUUGAGGAAGCCAAGGAGGAUGUUUCCGAAUCCAUUGAUUCUUCAUCAAAUCCAAAACACGUUUCUACCACAUGUCUCUGUGGCUGGAAGAGGAGAGAAAAAAACUACUAUUCUCAAAUGAUAGGGGCUCCAUCUCUCACCCACCCCUCAGAAGAGAUACAAAUGUAAAAAUAAGUGCCACUGGCUCUGA